CCGAGUGGAGAGCGUUCAAGCUCUUGCCGACGGUGCCCACAACUUGGCGGCUGAGAUCCUCCACCGGUACAUUAGACCGGAGAUAAAUGGUGACACCUUCAAUGAUGGUGACUCUGAAGACAUCCCUAUCAUUGAUCUGAGCAGGCUCCGUGAUCCCCUGUUCGGGCAGGAAGAGAUCUCCAGGCUCAAAUUUGCAUGUGAGGAGUGGGGAUUCUUCCAGGUUAGAUAGAAAAUUAACGAAUCAGGUUUGUUGAUUUAGUUAUUUAUAUAAAUUCUAUCGAAAUUUGUGGUUGUUUAUUGCCUAUCUGAUUCUUUUCCAGUUUAAUUUCUUCUGCAUAUUUGUUUUUCUUUACUCCUUUUUCUGGGUGUUGUGAGACGAGUGCAAAUUCUCUAAAGCCCUAGUUGUUUAAAAAAAAAUCUUAGAAGUAGCAUGUGCUAGAUUUCAAUUGGAAUCCGGGUACAUGGAAGUAGUUGAUUUUAAGUAGGAAUUAAAAAAAAAAAAAAAACAAAAAUUUCUUUGGAUCCAUCAAGAACUGCUACAUACCCAGGUUGUAAGAUUUCCCACCCUGCAACUUUUGUAGAGGAAAGUCUUAAGAGGGAGCUCGACGCUGAUCUCGUCUUCUUAAACACAGUAAAUGAUCUCCUAAUCCAAUGAAUUUCUAUACAUCUCAUCCAUUUUUUUCUCUAAUAGCAGUUUAGUGUUUUUUCCCCCGAGAACUAUGAGAGCUAAAACCCUAACCACAAACCUAAACAAGGACAACAUUGAAUCCUGAUCUCUUGUAUUAACCGGAAAGACGUUAUCAACUUGGAUGGUUCGCACCCUCAUACCAUACAAUAUUUGGAGAUUAGAUAUGAAGUAUAUCAAAUUGAGUCUAAAAACCUAAUAAUUGUCUUGUCAGAUGGUACACCCUGUGAAAUUUAGAACUCUAACUGUCAUCAAGAUGGUCCAACCUCCUGACUUCAGUCAAAACUGAUCAAGUUAUGAUUGGGCCUUUUAUUUUGAUGAACAAGAUUGAAUAUGACCAUAUUCAACAAAUGCUGGCACAGGAUUUUUGUUCCUAAAAGUCGGGAUUAAUCGAAGAAAAUAGGUUGAACAAGUGCAUUUUCAAAGAAACUUCUGACUUUGCAAUUCCACUAACUACCACUUUACGAAGUAAUAUAAACAUGGUAGCUUAAGACAACAAUUCUCUUUCACUCUCCGGAUUUUUCUGUAUGUCUCUUUGCAAAUACUCAAUGCAUCUCCAUCAAUCCAAAGAAAUGCGCUCUUAUUUGCCAAGUGAUCUAGCAUAGUGGAUCAAGUGAUAAACUAUAUCUCAUCAUCUUUGGGACACAUAACAGCUACUAAACUAGUAAUUCUUUUUCCUAUAUCCAUCUGUGUUUUAUGUCUGUGUUGGACUUGAUGUUGCCAGCUCCACAUUAUUAUGCAAUAUCAUGGUGAAUUUUGCAGCUGGUAAAUCAUGGAAUACCUGACGAAGUGGUCGAGAAAAUGAGGGCAGAUGUUGAGGAGUUCUUUCAGCUUCCUCUAGGAGAAAAGGAAGCAAUUGCACAGCUGCCAGGAGAUCUUGAAGGCUAUGGUCAAGCAUUUGUGGUGUCAGAUGAGCAAAAGCUUGAUUGGGGUGAUAUGCUUUUCCUAUUUACUCAACCACCACAUUUCAGGAACUUGAGAUUCUGGCCUGCUCAACCUCCUACAUUUAGGUAAUGUAAUACUGAAAGCUCAUACAAGAACACAUAGUUUCAAAGAUAAACUAGAUGAUUGAAACGCUAAUUCUGCAAUGUGACCAUAAGUUAUCACAAUUUAGAAAACUUGCAUCAUGAUCAAUGGUGUUUGUCUUGAUUAUCUCCUAGAAAAAUUAUUGUAACAGUUUCUGUUUUCAUUGCAAGCGGUGAAGUUUAAACUUCUUCUCUUAGCAAAAAAAAAAGAAGUAUAAACGUCUUUGAUGAAGAAAAGAAACCUUUUGCUAAUUAUAUUGGGAAUGUUUUCAGGGAUACAAUGGACAGAUACUCAUCGGAGCUAAAGAGAGUCUCCCAUUGUCUCUUGGGAUUAAUAGCUAAGAACUUAGGAGUUGAUCCCGAAAAAUUUGUCAACAUAAUUGAGUCACAAUCAAUGAGGAUCAAUUACUACCCACCAUGCCCCCAAGCUGACAGAGUCUUGGGUCUCUCCCCACACUCCGAUGCUGUUGGCUUGACAUUGCUCCUCCAAGUCAAUCAAGUGCAAGGAUUGCAGAUCAAGAGAAAUGGGGGAUGGCUCCCAAUCAAACCACUUCCUGGUGCUUUUGUCGUUAACAUCGGCGAUAUCAUUGAGGUAAGUAUAUGAAGAAAGAAUGAUGAGAGUACCAGUGGAGCUCUGAUGUCAUGAAAAUAAUUAAACAGGGAGAAUAUUGAGAAGGAAACAUCUCAUCUUUUGUUUAAAUAUGAAAUAGGUCAUAGAUAUCCCUCAAGUCAUACAAAGUUUUCUCAUCUAGGAAUCUCAUAGUAAAAAUAUAUUAAGGUGCGGAAAAUUUUGUCAGGAUGGGCUAACCAUACAAGUACAGAUUCGGGUGCUUUUCCUCCCUAUCUAAUUUCUCCUUUAAAAAAUUAAAAAAGAAGUUUAAUCAUGCUAUGAUAACUGAUAGAGAUUAAAGUUUUCUUUGAACUGGUAUGGUUUGUUUGAAAAAUUGAAGGUGAUAAAUUCUUUUAGUGGGUGCCAACUGGUUUCGUUUAGUGAGGGCCAAAAACCCCCUCUAGUUGUCACAAACUAUAUAUGUUAACUGAUUCUAGUUUGAUUCGUUUGACAGAUCUUAAGCAAUGGGAAAUACAAGAGCAUUGAGCAUAGGGCCAUCAUAAACAAGGAGAGGGAACGCCUUUCAAUUGCUGCAUUCCACAGUUGCAGUUUUACCACACCGGUAGGCCCACUUGCAGAGCUUGUCAAAGGGAGCAAGGAAAAUUACAAGACCUUGAGCUUUGAAACUUUCGCAAAACAGGUCUUGUCCAGCAAACUUGAUGGGAAGAGUGUCAUCGACUGGAUGAAAUUGAAUCCAUAAAAAUUGUUUCAAGAUGUUAUAAUCUUAUGAACAAAUAUGUUGUUCAUGUGUAAGAUUGUCAACUAGUAGAAGGCUGUCCAUGUAUUUGUUUCUUCUGAUCUCCAUCUAAGACUAGAAGAGCACAAACUGAACGCUCCUUACAAACAAAAUAAUCAGCAUUUUGUUACUCUGAGAGGAGAUUUCUUAUGAGUUCCCUGAAAAUGACCUUUUCUUUUUAGAAAAAAAGAGUUUAUCCCCCCAUCUAUAAGGAAAUAAUCAUAAAAGACUAAGUACUUGUUUGGAUGGUAUCAUCCCUUGCCGCUUGAACAAGAGGAUAAGAGUUCGAUUCUGGUUAGCAUUGGCCCUCGAGGGGUGAGGCGGAUAGGAGGUAGUAGGUGAUGAGUAGUCUCCGAAACAAGAGGGGGCGGGGGAGGGAGAGAACAUGAUGGGUUUUAUCUAGAUGUACAUGGGGUCAAACCAUCUCGGGCAUUGUUCUUGAGACUUAUCCUCAAAAUAAUCUUAGGAUCGACCGUGAUAUCAAGACAGACUCUAAAAGAUGAACAUCAUCUAGACGUUUUGGUAAUCAGACGGGCAACUUCAUCAGACUUCGUCUCCAGAUAUCAUUUUCGGCCACCUAACAAGAACAUCUACACACUGUCGAUGACUCAUAUGGACCGCCCUUGAGGGUUUGGUCCAUGCAACUUCAUCAGCUCCCAUGACUCGGGUGCCUAUCAACCUCAAGAUCGGGAGCUUGCCGACCAUACAUGACGAUUUCCUACGACCGACACCAAUCCAAACCAAGACCUCAGCUAUAUGCCAACCUCAAAUUACUAACCUAUUCAGUCAUAUGAACCACUAUCACGAAUCUCUCAACAAACUAUCUAAGCAUGGCCACUGCUAUAACCGACAUCUUUUGACUGACAUGUUCUAUGUCCUAAUGGCCUGACAGACCACAGCCUAGUAGGACAACCAAUCGAAUUCAGGCACAACACUCCAUGACUCCGUCUCUAUAUAAAGAGGCAAGAAGGAGACCCUCGAAGGGGGUAAGACAUUACACAAUACUAAGCUAACACUCUCCCUCUUCUAUUAUUUUCAAGCUCUAAUUGACUUAAAGAUCGGAGGAUCCCCUGUCGGAGGACCCCCAAUAAGUGUGGACUUCUUUUGCAGGUCUCCGUUGGCAUCGUGGCAUCUAGUCCGCCCACCAUUCUCAACCACUCCAGCAUCCGUCGUAGCCUUGACGCAAUGUAUGAUAAUUCAGGAACAUGAUGGACAAUAUAAUCAUGACUUUAUUAUGUUAUAUCGAGUGUUUAUUAUGAUUUUAUAUUAGUGUUUAAAUUUUUUUAUAUAUUUUUUAUUAUCAUGACUUUAUUUGUACAGAUUAGUAAAUUGUUUACAGAUUAUACUUUUGGUAUUUAAUUUUUUUAAUAAAUUUUGGACAGAUUUAUAUUUUUUGUGCAGAUAAGUAAAUUAUUUUUAGAUUAUUUUUUUUUUAAACAGAACAUUGAAGACGCUCUACGGUGUCGGUACUCUAUAUGCUUAUCGAUGCUUUAAACUUUAAAGUAUUGGUAUUGCAUAUCAUUAACGAUGCUCAAAAGCACCGGCAAAUACCCAAUGUAAUAGCUUUCCGACACGUUUAAACGUUGGCAAAUUGUUAAAACUUACUGACGGUUUAGCCCGAUUCGAAGCGCUUAGCGACGCAUAUAAGCGACGGGAGUCGCCGACGCUUUUUUAAAGUGCCCCGCUAGACUCUCCUGCCCUUCCAAUUAGGUGACCGGACCAGUGCUCAACUCGGACAAGUUGACCAUUUUGGCAACCAAUUGGUGACAAGCUGAUCAUUCAGAAAUUUUUGCCUGAUCCUUUAAAGGACCAUGGUGAAAAGUGACGCGGUGACGUUUGGAUGUAACUUGGACUGGCAACAUAGGGUUGGGGUUCCAAGUUUCGACAAGCUAUUCAGCAAUCGGCCUAACAUGAGGAUACGUUUUUUUUAAAUCUGCACUCGGUCCUGAGUGCAAUAAAACAUGAAGUACAAAAAACAAACAAACCCAAUGAGCACAAUAGCUUUGCAUCCCUUGGAUAAACCGUGGGCUCAGUGUCAGCACAGUCUUUGUUCUGAUCUCAAGAUCUUCCAGGCCCAUGAUUGGAUUCAGCCAUCAUGAGUUUCUAAGGUAACUUUUAGUUAAUCUUAUUUGGCAUUCUUCUUCUUGUCUUUAUUAUGUAAACUGUUUUUUUAUCUCUUACCAUGAUCCGAUAGUUUCUCUCACUUUGUUGGUCACACCCAUAUUGUCAUGCUGGUUGUUGUCCCUUUUAGGGGUUUUCUAAAGUAAAAAUUGUGAGGAUGGUUGCUGUCAUUUUUUUUGGCAUAUUAAAGUAGACUGUUGGCUACUUUUGGUGUGUUUUGUCCUGCUGGUGACCAUCGGUGGCCCUGACGGGAUCCCCCAUAGAUAUAUUAGGGUUGAAAUACAAGUUGAGAAUGAUAUAGCCCAUGUGAUACAUGGGAUAUAUAUAUAUAUAUAUUUUUUUCCAACUAUUCUUGAUAGUGAUUUUCGAACCAAUAUGAACUAAGCAAUUUGAUCUAUUCUAAAUCGAAAUGACAACAAAUCGGAAUAGAUCAACACUCGAUUCACUUAAUUACUCUUCCUUUGCACCCUCUAGGGUUCGAUGAUUCAAGAGUCUUUGAGACUCUCUUCUUCAUUUUUUUUUCUCUUCGCUGGAUAAUUCCCCCUCUUCGAUGCAAAACUCUCAUUCAAUCAAAGAACUCUCCAUUGGUAGAUCCAACUAAUCUCUCUCUGUCUUUUUCUUUUUCUGUCUCUCUCAAAAUCUCUAUUGUCAGAUCGGGUCUUGAAGCUCCCUAUGGACUCUCCUUCCCUUUCCUUCAUCUCCUCUCUCUCUCACCCUCAUUCUCACUCUCUCACUCUUACUUCCUUUCCUCCCUCUUUCUCUCUCUCUUCCUAUUUCAAUACACUAGCAUAAUGUGGUACAAAUUUUAUAGUACUGAAUUGGUCACUACCCAUUACAACUCUAGUACCGAUUCAUAUGAAUCUUGAUCUUUGAAAUAUAGUAUAGCAAUGUAAAAAUCAUAAUAAAAGAAGCCUUAAUAGCAAAAUUUUUAUUAUAUAUUAAGCAAUAAACUUUAAUUACAACCUACUAGAAACUCUCAUUAAUAAUGCUGGCAUUCACAUGGUGAAUGAAAAAUUCCACACAAGCUAAAUCUUUAUACAAAAACUCUUAUUAUUAAUACUGACCCCAUGCAAUAUGUUAGUUGUAUAUUUAUUUUUCUCCUUUUUGGAACUAUUUUUGAAAUGUGAUAUGAUAGUAUGACAAAUUAUAAUAGAUAGUAGAUUUCAAUAGCCAAUUUUUUUUGUACAUUAACAAACUUUAAUAAUAACUAAAUAUAUUAAUACUAGCAUUAUUAAUAUACCUUGUAUAUUCAAUAAUGAACUUAUAUAAUGGCCAGGCACAUUAAUAUCAAUGUCAUUAACACUCAAUAUUCCGGUGGCAAAAAUAUAACUUCAUACAACCCACGCAAUAUGGAGGGUAUGAUUCUUUUUUUUUUUUUUCAAACUGGUUUUGUAGAAUAUAAUAUGCUUGAUGUAAGAUUUAUUUAUACUUGAUAUGUUUGUUUAAAGUACAUCAGACAAAUAAAAUGAUUUUAGAUGCAUUUUACAUAUUUUGAAAGAAUAAGAUUAAUUAGAUUUGUUCUCACAAAAUUGGUUUAUAUUUUUGAGAUGUGAUAAGAACAUGAAAAAAAAAUAUAUGUGAAUAAGAGACACAAUACUACUUCUAGGAUAUAUACUUUUAGAUUUUCUAUCUGCAAAAAUUUACUUGAUAUCUAUUGCCUUGUACUAAUUUGAUGAAUUUUUUAUUAAAUAAAUAUUUGGUUCUCUUUAAUUUUUAAAAAUUUAAAAUUACUUAUAUAUAUAUAUAUUGUUGCUAAAGAUGAAAGUAUGGUCUCUUCUUCUUCUUCUCUCUUUGUUUUUUUUUUUUUUUUUUUAAUAUAACAAUUUUGGGAGUGAAAGGGAGGGAUGAAUAACCAGGAGGAUUUUAUUGUAGGGAAGAGGUUAAACUAGACUCAGAUGUCACAUUUACCAACCAUUACCUAACGCAACAUUGAUUGUUUGGUUGCCUGCGGCCCCUUUACCUUAUCAACGUGGUGGUUUGCCUCCGCCGACCUGCGCCGUUAGCGGGUGGAACUGGCCGUCCAACGACUGAGCCGGACGGAUGGAUCUAGCGGUGGUAGGUGGUGCGCACGUGCGUGCGCGUCCGUUGACUCCAUCGGAAGUUCCCCUCCUCUCCUCGAGCCGGACGGAUGGAUUUAGCGGUGGCAGGUGGUGCGUGCGUGCGUGCGCGUCCGUUGACUUCAUCGGAAGUUCCCCCGUUGACGCCAUCGGAAGAUCCCAUCCUUACCUCACGCCCCCUUGACAUCCGACGCAUUCUACGAAAACAAUUCUAGCGGAGGAGGAGAAAUGGAGACCGGAAACGAUGGUGGGAGGCCAAAAGAUUUGGGAGGCUCCAUCCGAGUGGAGAAUGUCCAAGCUCUUGCCGACGGUGCCAACGACUUGGCGGCUGAGAUCCUCCACCGGUACAUUAGACCGGAGAUAAAUGGUGACACCUUCAAUGAUGGUGACUCGGAAGACAUCCCCAUCAUUGAUCUGAGCAGGCUCCGUGAUCCCCUGUUCGAGCAAGAAGAGACCUCCAGGCUCAAAUUUGCAUGUGAGGAGUGGGG
rnacentral:lncRNA from 1 species